GCCAGUGUGGUAUAGUGGUUUGAGCAUUGGACUUCGAUUCUGGAGACCAGGGUUCAAUUCCUGCUCAGCCA